rnacentral:rRNA from 1 species
UACGAAGGGGGCGAGCGUUGUUCGGAUUUACUGGGCGUAAGGGCGCGUAGGCGGCCCUCCUAGUCGCGUGUGAAAGCCCCGGGCUCAACCUGGGAAUUGCGCGCGAAACGGGGGGGCUUGAGUGUGGGAGAGGGAUGCGGAAUUCCAGGUGUAGCGGUGAAAUGCGUAGAUAUCUGGAGGAACACCGGUGGCGAAGGCGGCAUCCUGGACCAUUACUGACACUGAAACGCGAAAGCCAGGGGAGCAAACGGG